UAAUUUGAACACCUUACCCCCUAUUUGUCUUUCUACUAUGUUAUCCUCUGGUCGGGGUCGCUCGUUCUGUACAUUCUUUGCAAGAGACCCGUUCGUGGGGUCUUCUCCCAUAGGCGUCGGCCCUGCGGAUGCAUCGGUCAUCGCCUCCUCUGGUCCUCCUUCUGUGGGCGAGGCCUCUCCGUGUACUCCUUCUACCGGCGAGGCAUCGCCGUCACUCCCUUCCGUAUAUGCCUCUUCCAUAGGCGUCGG
rnacentral:lncRNA from 1 species